AACGAACGCUGGCGGCAGGCUUAUCACAUGCAAGUCGAGCGCCCCGCCAGGGGAGCGGCAGACGGGUGAGUAACGCGUGGGAACGUACCUUUUGGUUCGGAACAACUCCGGGAAACUGGAGCUAAUACCGGAUAAGCCCUAACGGGGAAAGAUUUAUCGCCGAAAGAUCGGCCCGCGUCUGAUUAGCUAGUUGGUGAGGUAACGGCUCACCAAGGCGACGAUCAGUAGCUGGUCUGAGAGGAUGAUCAGCCACACUGGGACUGAGACACGGCCCAGACUCCUACGGGAGGCAGCAGUGGGGAAUAUUGGACAAUGGGCGCAAGCCUGAUCCAGCCAUGCCGCGUGAGUGAUGAAGGCCUUAGGGUUGUAAAGCUCUUUUGUCCGGGAAGAUAAUGACUGUACCGGAAGAAUAAGCCCCGGCUAACUUCGUG
rnacentral:rRNA from 1 species